GAGGGACAAUCACCAACAUCCGACACAAUAAGGCAAAGCUGAUUAUCAGUUGAACCAAAUUUGAUACCAGCUGAGCCGGACAGAGUCCAUAGUAAUUCAAGAUAUUUCGGACAAAUUCUGAAAUCGAAAAUCAAAGAUCCGUCCGAAGAUCUUCGACGUAGAAGGCCACCUAACCCGAUGGUGGGUUAUUCACCCGACCAUUCGCCCCA
rnacentral:lncRNA from 1 species